rnacentral:rRNA from 1 species
GAUGAACGCUGGCGGCGUGCUUAACACAUGCGAGUCGAACGGAAAGGCCCUGCUUUUGUGGGGUGCUCGAGUGGCGAACGGGUGAGUAACACGUGAGUAACCUGCCCUUGACUUUGGGAUAACUUCAGGAAACUGGGGCUAAUACCGGAUAGGAGCUCCUGCUGCAUGGUGGGGGUUGGAAAGUUUCGGCGGUUGGGGAUGGACUCGCGGCUUAUCAGCUUGUUGGUGGGGUAGUGGCUUACCAAGGCUUUGACGGGUAGCCGGCCUGAGAGGGUGACCGGCCACAUUGGGACUGAGAUACGGCCCAGACUCCUACGGGAGGCAGCAGUGGGGAAUAUUGUACAAUGGGCGGAAGCCUGAUGCAGCAACGCCGCGUGCGGGAUGACGGCCUUCGGGUUGUAAACCGCUUUCGCCUGUGACGAAGCGUGAGUGACGGUAAUGGGUAAAGAAGCACCGGCUAACUACGUG